rnacentral:rRNA from 1 species
CGGCGGGNGGUAGUAAUGCCUAGGAAUCUGCCUGGUAGUGGGGGACAACGUUUCGAAAGGAACGCUAAUACCGCAUACGUCCUACGGGAGAAAGCAGGGGACCUUCGGGCCUUGCGCUAUCAGAUGAGCCUAGGUCGGAUUAGCUAGUUGGUGAGGUAAUGGCUCACCAAGGUGACGAUCCGUAACUGGUCUGAGAGGAUGAUCAGUCACACUGGAACUGAGACACGGUCCAGACUCCUACGGGAGGCAGCAGCC